UACAGAGGGGGCAAGCGUUAUUCGGAAUUACUGGGCGUAAAGCGUGCGCAGGCGGUUUUGUAAGACAGGUGUGAAAUCCCCGGGCUCAACCUGGGAACUGCGCUUGAUACUGGUAAACUAGAGUUUAGUAGAGGGAAGUGGAAUUCCACGUGUAGCGGUGAAAUGCGUAGAUAUGUGGAGGAACACCAGUGGCGAAGGCGGCUUCCUGGACUAAAACUGACGCUGAGGCGCGAAAGCGUGGGUAGCAAACAGG
rnacentral:rRNA from 1 species